rnacentral:rRNA from 1 species
AUUGAACGCUGGCGGAAUGCUUUACACAUGCAAGUCGAACGGCAGCACGGACUUCGGUCUGGUGGCGAGUGGCGAACGGGUGAGUAAUGUAUCGGAACGUGCCCAGUCGUGGGGGAUAACGUAGUGAAAAUUGCGCUAGUACCGCAUACGAUCGAUGGAUGAAAGCGGGGGAUCGCAAGACCUCGCGCGAUUGGAGCGGCCGAUAUCAGAUUAGGUAGUUGGUGGGGUAAAGGCCCACCAAGCCAACGAUCUGUAGCUGGUCUGAGAGGACGACCAGCCACACUGGAACUGAGACACGGUCCAGACUCCUACGGGAGGCAGCAGUGGGGAAUUUUGGACAAUGGGCGAAAGCCUGAUCCAGCCAUUCCGCGUGCAGGAUGAAGGCCCUCGGGUUGUAAACUGCUUUUGUACAGAACGAAAAGGUUUCUACUAAUACUAGGAGCUCAUGACGGUACUGUAAGAAUAAGCACCGGCUAACUACGUGCCAGCCGCCGCGGUAA